CAAGUAGAACGCACAGUUUAUACCGUAGCUUGCUACACCAUAGACUGUGAGUUGCGAACGGGUGAGUAACGCGUAGGUAACCUGCCUGGUAGCGGGGGAUAACUAUUGGAAACGAUAGCUAAUACCGCAUAAUAUUAAUUAUUGCAUGAUAAUUGAUUGAAAGGUGCAAUUGCACCACUACCAGAUGGACCUGCGUUGUAUUAGCUAGUAGGUGAGGUAACGGCUCACCUAGGCGACGAUACAUAGCCGACCUGAGAGGGUGAUCGGCCACACUGGGACUGAGACACGGCCCAGACUCCUACGGGAGGCAGCAGUAGGGAAUCUUCGGCAAUGGACGAAAGUCUGACCGAGCAACGCCGCGUGAGUGAAGAAGGUUUUCGGAUCGUAAAGCUCUGUUGUAAGAGAAGAACGGGUGUGAGAGUGGAAAGUUUCACACUGUGACGGUAUCUUACCAGAAAGGACGGCUAA
rnacentral:rRNA from 1 species